CAUGGCUCAGGAUGAACGCUAGCGGCAGGCCUAACACAUGCAAGUCGAGGGAGGAGCUUUCGGGCUUCGACCGGCGUACGGGUGCGUAACGCGUAUACAAUCUGCCUUUCACAUAGGGAUAGCCCGAAGAAAUUUGGAUUAAUACCUAAUGGCAUAUAGGGGUGGCAUCACCUUUAUAUUAAAGCUGAGGCGGUGAAAGAUGAGUAUGCGUUCUAUUAGCUAGUUGGAGAGGUAACGGCUCCCCAAGGCGACGAUAGAUAGGGGUUCUGAGAGGGAUAUCCCCCACACUGGUACUGAGAUACGGACCAGACUCCUACGG
rnacentral:rRNA from 1 species